rnacentral:tRNA from 2 species
UCCUUGUUAGCUCAGUUCGUAGAGCGUUCCACUGUAAAUGGAACAGUCCCUGGUUCUAUACAAGGACCAGGCG